rnacentral:lncRNA from 10 species
AGGAACAUAUAGGGUUGGAACCCCAUACAGGGAGGCACCAUUCUGCCAACUCCAGAUUCAUAGACUCACUAGCAGCUUGCACCCUGAUUGUGGAAAAGCUAUAGGUACUCAACACCAGCCCAGCCCAUGAGGGCAACUGUGGAGGUUAGACCCCGCAAAAGUCACAGGUGCAGACCUGCCCAAGGCCUUGGGAGCCCAGGCCUCAUACCCUUGUGCUCUGGAUGUGGGAUCUGGAUUCAAAAAAAAUGAUUUGGAGGUGUAGGAUUCAAUGACUGGC